rnacentral:rRNA from 1 species
UUGGAGGGCAAGUCUGGUGCCAGCAGCCGCGGUAAUUCCAGCUCCAAUAGCGUAUAUUAAAGUUGUUGCAGUUAAAAAGCUCGUAGUUGAAUUUCGGGAUUAGUACGUUGGUCGUGCCUUCGGUACGUACUGGUGUUACUGGUUCCUACCUUCUGACGAACCAUCAUGUCAUUAAUUUGGUGUGGCGGGGAAUCAGGACUGUUACUUUGAAAAAAUUAGAGUGUUUAAAGCAGGCUCGCGCUUGAAUACAUUAGCAUGGAAUAAUGAAAUAGGACGUUGACCCUAUUUUGUUGGUUUCUAGGAUUGACGUAAUGAUUAAUAGGGAUAGUUGGGGGCAUUAGUAUUCAAUUGUCAGAGGUGAAAUUCUUGGAUUUAUUGAAGACUAACUACUGCGAAAGCAUUUGCCAAGGAUGUUUUCAUUAAUCAAGAACGAAAGUUAGGGGAUCGAAGACGAUCAGAUACCGUCGUAGUCUUAACCAUAAACUAUGCCGACUAGGGAUCGGAUGAUGUUAUUUUUAAUGACUCAUUCGGCGCCUUACGGGAAACAAUCACUA